AAAGUAAACGAUAACUUGCAUUUAUUGAAACAUAAAACUGGUUUCCUUUUCGAUUGAAUAGGAAUUAUCCUCCAGUGCAGAAGUAUCUGGAAAAUUACCCUGUUCAUCACUUUUCCCAGUUCCAUUAAGAUUCU
ensembl:ncRNA C34F6.18 ncRNA